rnacentral:rRNA from 1 species
UACGUAGGGCGCAAGCGUUAUCCGGAAUUAUUGGGCGUAAAGCGCUCGUAGGCGGUUUGUCGCGUCUAUCGUGAAAGUCCGGGGCUCAACUUCGGAUCUGCGGUGGGUACGGGCAGACUAGAGUGAUGUAGGGGAGACUGGAAUUCCUGGUGUAGCGGUGAAAUGCGCAGAUAUCAGGAGGAACACCGAUGGCGAAGGCAGGUCUCUGGGCAGUAACUGACGCUGAGGAGCGAAAGCAUGGGGAGCGAACAGGAUUAGAUACCCCCGUAGUCC